UACGUAGGGGGCAAGCGUUGUCCGGAAUCAUUGGGCGUAAAGCGCGUGUAGGCGGUUCGGUAAGUCGGCUGUGAAAGUCCAGGGCUCAACCCUGGGAUGCCGGUCGAUACUGCCGGACUAGAGUUCGGAAGAGGCGAGUGGAAUUCCCGGUGUAGCGGUGAAAUGCGCAGAUAUCAGGAGGAACACCAAUGGCGAAGGCAGCUCGCUGGGACGUUACUGACGCUGAGACGCGAAAGCGUGGGGAGCGAACAGG
rnacentral:rRNA from 1 species